GAACAAAAACAAAAUCAUCAAAGAAAAAAAAAUGGGUAUCAGCAAGAAAAUGUUAAUAGCAUUUGUUCUCACUAUCCUCUUAGCCAUAUCUUCUGUUCAUUGCUCCAAUAGAAUCUCUGGUUUUGGUAUGAAGCAAGCGUCUAUUUAUGGAACAUGUUACUACCUAGAGGAAUGUCAUAGCCCUUCAUUUGACGAUGGGGCAUGCCAAAUGUUUUGUCAAACUAAAAACCUUACAUUACUCGGUUUAUGUAAUAUUAGAACUGGCCAAUGUUGUUGUAAGGCUCAUACGAAAUAAUCUAAUCAAAUAACUUAUCCGGUUGACAUAUAAGACCAAUACUAAUUUCAUAUGAUC